rnacentral:tRNA from 1 species
GUUGUGGCUCAGUGGUAGAGUGCUUGCCUAGCAUGCACGAGGCACUGGGUUUGAUUCCCAGGCACUACA